UACGUAGGGCGCAAGCGUUUAUCCGGAAUUAUUGGGCGUAAAGAGCUCGUAGGCGGUUUGUCGCGUCUGCCGUGAAAGUCCGGGGCUCAACUCCGGAUCUGCGGUGGGUACGGGCAGACUAGAGUGAUGUAGGGGGAGACUGGAAUUCCUGGUGUAGCGGUGAAAUGCGCAGAUAUCAGGAGGAACACCGAUGGCGAAGGCAGGUCUCUGGGCAUUAAC
rnacentral:rRNA from 1 species